GGGGAAUAUUGCACAAUGGACGCAAGUCUGAUGCAGCAACUCCGCGUGAGUGAAGAAGGCCCUUGGGUUGUAAAGCUCUUUAGAGUGGAAAGAAGUGCCUGUCGGCGAAUAGCUAGCAGGUGUGACGGUACCACUAGAAUAAGCACCGGCUAAUUUCGUGCCAGCAGCCGCGGUAAUACGAAAGGUGCAAGCGUUACUCGGAAUCACUGGGCGUAAAGCGCGCGUAGGCGGUCUCGUAUGUCGAUUGUGAAAGCCCCGGGCUCAACCUGGGAACUGCAGCCGAAACUGCGGGACUUGAAUGUUGGAGAGGGUGGGGGAAUACCUGGUGGAGAAGUGAAAUUCGUAGAGAUUAGGUGGAACACCAGAGGCGAAGGCGCCUGCCUGGCCAAACAUUGACGCUGAGGCGCGAAAGCGUGGGGAGCAAA
rnacentral:rRNA from 1 species